rnacentral:lncRNA from 1 species
CAACGUUGAAGGUGCAUCCUGUUGAGUCUGUGCCCCCUCCCCAUUAAAUUUCUGUUGCUUUGAUUAAGUAUUUACAUACCACUCUUUUCAUAGAAGAUUUUGGGAGACCCCCAACUAGAACCUUUGGUUGUCUUCUUAAAGUAUCCACAUUUUUAUCUGACUUGAGUGUCCUUUUUCAUUUGACAGAUAGAAUGUAGCCUAUGUAGCCAGUAGCCAGAUGGUAUGCUGGUUUUCCAAGGACUUACACAAGCCUAUCCAGAAUCAUGUUGGCCCUAAGGAUGGAGGUAAUAAGGGAGACAGAGAUGGAGGGAGAGAGGGGGACAUAGAAAGAAAUAUGUUGACUAUGUUUUGUUGGGAAAUUAUCAAUUGAAAUUGGAGGUCUAUUGUUUGUUGUUACUGGGAUCCCAAGAACUGCGUUGAAACUUGAAUUUUGUGGUUAAACUUUGGCAUUUUAUAGAAUUCUGGAGAAUUCCUUGGACCCUAUUGUCCAUACAUCAUGACAUCACUGACUUUUUUAAAGUAAUAGUGCUACUACUUAAGACCUUGAAACAUUGUCUUACUCUGUGUCCUUUGAUAUCAGAAAACCUGCAUCCUGGGUGAUUUAAUAUUGUCCUAUUUUGGCUUUAACGCUUAGGAAGCAAUAGAUCUAAUGAAGGUAAUUUCUCAAGCCUCGAAUAAAAACAUUGGGGAAAAAAAAACAUAGCAGGAAGUGUGGCUCCUUUUCCAAUUCCAGUCAUAGGGGUUAUUAUAAUAAGUAAAAAUCCUCUGAAGUUUACAUCCUCUAUUACAUGCUCCCAGUACUUCAAAAUCCAUGUAUGUAUUUUCAUCAGAAGUGCUAAACCUUUGAGAGAAGCAGGAUCUGACGAUUGAGUGUCUGGCUGGAAAUCAUUUACUAUCGAUGGUCACUCAGCUCAAGAUUGUAUCGGUGAAAUGACUUAGGAGGAAAAAUCAAUAAUACUCACAUAUUGUGCAGUCCUCUUAGAGGAUCAUCUGUUUUACCUCACAAAAGCAUUCCUUGUUCCAGAUCCUUCUUCUCAAAUAAAAGAAGAAAAAAAAGGCAACCUAAAUCAUAGCUCAUUUUCUCUUCUGCCCUUAUUUUAUUUCAGGUUCCUCUUUUGGGGGGAGGAAAAAAAAGUCAAAUCUCACGCAGAAAUAGAUAGCAGCAGAUACAAUAUAAGAAGGAAGAUGACCAUGGGUGUGCUUGUACUAUAAUUUCAAUUGCUUAUAUUCUCAACUAAAGAAAAUAAGUCACCAGCUGGAUAUUUAAUAGUAUCUCAAUUUCAAAAUUUUUGGACAAAGGGAUAAUAGCUUUGUCCUCAUAGAAUGGCUUUCGUGAUUAGAGGACUGACUUUAUACACAAGGAUACAUGCAGUCACAUGUAGGGCUUAGUGGGUGAUUAUCACUCCCACUUACAGGUAGACAUUCCCACUUGCACUGUUUCCUAAAUUUAAUCCUUACAUAUUUGUCCCCUGGCCUAGAACUGGAACAAAUUCUGUGACAGGAUUCUGAUGAAAUGAGGUAGGAGUGUCUCUGUCUGAUUUGGGAGAGGAACAAAAUAACUUAUUGGAGUGUGUACCUGGACUUCACAUGGAGCACACAUAUACCAAAAAUUGGAUGAAGGUCAGUUGGACCAGAUUUCCUUUAGUUGCUCAAAAGGAAGAGUCUAGAAAGAAAGGCCUAAUCUUGCAAUUGACUUGGAACUCUCCUUGGUGCUGAGAUAGUACCUGAGGCAGUGUUCUCCACACGUUGCUGAUCUAAGUGUGUUUGUUGGGUUGUGUGUACCACAGGGAAAGUAUUUUACAAGGAACAAGGAGUCAACGCUAAGUAAAUCUGAACUCUUGGUGAGAACAUUAUUCUUUUUGAAAGUCCUGGUCUCAGUUCCUUACUUAGAACCCAGACCAUCUCAUGUCCUUCCACUCCUCUCCUCUUUGACUUCUUUAUUUUUAUGAGAUGAAAGUUCUAGGUAAAUUUAUUAAUUUAUCUGAAGUUUACAUUGCUAGCUUUGGCGGACUUCAGCUCUAGUAUUCAUUUGAGAGACCUACUGCAUCCCCUGAUGGAAAGCACCAAAGGAUGCUUUCCAUUCUCUUGCUUUAUUCUUGAUACCGCCAUCGGGCAUGUGCUUCAGCUGACUAUUUAUCUCAGUAAUGCCAAACUCAACUCAUAGAAAGCAAGGGAUAACUUUGACUUUCUUACAUGUGUUCUCAGCUAUUGCUUAUUAUCUACACUUUGUGGUUCUAUUUCCAACUGAUAGUAGAAAUGCCAACUUGUUGGGGAAAAUGGUGCUAUUCUAAUAGUUUCCACUAUCCUAGAAAGAGGACAAAUAAAUCACUAUAGCUUCUUCCUUUGCAGUACCUGCUUAUUUAAUGUAAAUUGGCUGAAACAUAAUUGGUAAAUAGGGAGUGGAGUUAGUAUAAUGCACAAGUCAUGUUGAUUUGCAUGGGCUUUUCUGGGGCACAUUAAUAUUUUGAAGUAAUUGGAAGCAAGUUCCCUCACAAUUAAAGAGAAAGCUUUGGCCAUAUAUGAAGACUUCAAGAAAACAAACUCAAAAGUCCUGUAGAACUGACCUCCUUUUGUGCCAGUUAUAGCUGGUUUAGUCACUCCAAGAAUGGCUAUAUUUUCCAAUGUGUUAAGUUAGCUGAGGAAGCCAAGAAUACAGAUAAAGAGGCUAAAAAUAUAUUUUCCCCUGUAUUAAAACAAAGGAUUUGAUUUUCAGUUUUGAUGAAUCUGAUCUCUCUUAGAAGCACAUACCUUCAAGGACUUAGAUCUGAAAGGAUGAAGUUGGGACCUCAGGUUUAAGACAACAAAUGAUCAGCUGACUGUGGUGUCACACUGCCAUUGGAAAGCUAACUCUGUUGGUAUAUUUAUUAGAAUUGUUAUUCUUUUUGUUCUGUUUUUAGUAACAAAGUUCCAUAGGUUUUUGCUCAAUUUCCCCAACAUUAUUUCCCCCCCAAAGUCUUGUUAUUUUUAGCAUGCAGCUUUAUAGAAAACAAGAGUAUAGGAUAUGUGUAUAUGAAGCUAUCAUAGAAAUGCCUGUAAAACAUCUUAAGUAGUUCAGAUUCCAAUCCUUGGGUACACAUGUAAGCAGUGUUUCACCAGCAUAGGAAAGACAACUCAGGACAGCACUGCAGAGAUAUUGCUGUGAGAAGUGCUUGGCAAAGUCAGUGUCUCCAGCAUUCAGCCCCUGCUGUCACAAAUACUCACAUGAUUUUGGCAGCCUCUGUAUUUUCCUUCCUACCCUGUGGGAGAGGCAUGCUUCUGACUGAGUUUUAGAUGAUUUAGGAAACUUCCAAUCCGGGAGCAUUGGCCUUUGUUCCGCAACAUGAUCUCCUUGCAUUGAGAUGCAAGUAAUCCCUCUCGCUCUCCCUUCUCUCUCUCUCUCUCCUGUGUCUGUUGCAUGGUCAUUGCUCUGAUGUUUUUAUUUGGACACGAUAGAUAAAAAGAUGUGGACUUGUGGCAACUUGAAAGUGGUGUACAUGCCCCUCAAUUUAUAUGCUAUAUCUUUGACUUCUACAAUAUGAAGAGAACCAGAUUCUUAUACCAACUCAGCCUCUAAUGUGUUAUGUGGCAUCAGCCAGGUGACUUCGCCCCUGGAGUUUGGUUCUCAGAAAAUGAAAAUGAAGAUAGUAUUUCAGUCCCCAUGUCCUCUCUUGGCCUGGCAUGUAAAGCACCUGCCAGUUACCCUGCCCUUUUCUGUGAUGUCUCAGAAUAACCGCCAUACUCAUGGACCCUCUUCUGUGUUUGGUGUUACUGGAUCCGGCCAGUGAUUGGUGCCCUGUCCAAUGACUGCCGACUCAUGAGCUGUCCUAUGGCUCCAGAGGGAUGUGGCCUGAGAACUCAGCCCAGCCCCUUCACACAAGGUGACCAAUCAGCCCUGUCACUUGAGUAGCUUGAACCCCAAAUACUCAGAAUUAAUUGGUAACAUCAGAAGCAGGUGAGCCGUAAAAAAGGGAAUAUAUACACACACACACACACACACACACACACACACACAUAUGUAUAUGUGACUGUAUAUGUAUAUGACUGGGUCGCUUUGCUGUAGAGCAGAAAUUGUACCACAUUGCAAAUCAACUAUACUCUAAGGAAAAUUUUUUAAAAAAAGAAAAAAAGAAGCAGGGGAACCAGAGACCCAGCCAUGGGGAGAAGGGCUGCACACCCCCUCCCUCCAUGAGCCAUGGAGUGGGGGACAGUGGAAGUCAGCUGCUGAGAUGGGCAAGAUGGCUUGAUCCCUUGUCUUGGGUGAUACUCUGGUCUCUGUGAGACUUGACUGGACUGAAUUGGGAUGAUUUCCUGACUGCCUUGCUUUCCAGUGAAUUCCUAUCUAAUGGUGUGUUUUACCACUGCCUGGCUCGGGGCUGAGGAUAGGGAGGGACUUGGGCAAGCUUGAGCCCAGGUGUAUCCAUUUCCUGGUGCAGGGAAUUUCUUUCCAUGCCACCUACCCGGUGCCCCACCAGCAAUCUAGAUUCCUGUUCUUCUUUAAGUGUUGCUGAGUGUUCAGAGUUAUUGAAACUUGGGUUAGGUUAUUGCAUCUGAAAAGUCUAGAGCUCUGGUCCUCCUAGAGGGUCACCAAGGGUGUGCUGUCUGCUAUACUGGCAAUGUCUUUGCUGGAGCAGUGGGGAGGGGACUCCGCACAGCUCUUUGGAGCAGGGAGGUGCAGUGCUUAAGAUGGGAACCAGACAGUCUGCAGAGGCGGUCCAGUUCCCAGGGGCUGCAGUAACUCUCAUGCAACACCCACUGGUGACAGUGGUGACAGCCUUUUCAAGGAGAACAGGCCAGGUAGCCCCAGGACUGUGAUGUCACUCCCAGCCCCUACUCUCCACAAGCCUGCACAUGUUCCCUCCCUUUAGUUCUCUCCUCACCAAAACUCUCUCCCCAAGCCUUGGGAAGCCAAAGAGGCAUGCAUGGGGGAUGGGCGGUAGCUCUCAUUUCUCUUGCUUCUUAUAUAUUUUGAGUCUUAUUUAUUUAUUUAUUUUUAUUUAUUUUUAGAGGUUUGGAAUACUAGAACUUUGAGAUCUAGCCCAGUCACAAACUUCCAUUUUCUUUGCAUUUUGCUGCAGCAACCCUGGAGGCAGUGAAUGCCAUGGGCUUAGCUGCUUAAGUGGAGCAUAAAGCAGAGGAGAGAGGUUGGCAGGGCAGCCUGUACCACAAUGAAGAAAGGAUAAAAAGAGCUCUGGUUCAUUAACAUGUGCAACAAAUCCCAUGACCUUGCGAAAGUAACCUGAGCGCAUGUCUGUUUUGUACAUCCCAAAAAGAGCCUAACAUACUUUCUUUGAGUUUCUGUAGAGCAAAAAUUUCCAAACCAUAGCAAGUGGGCCCUCUCUUUCAGGAAAUAUGAUAAGUUAUAGUAUAUGUAACUUGGGAGGCCUUUGAAGUUUGUUAAGAUAUAACCUGUAAUACAAAUGCAGGAAGAUAAAUGGAGAGCAUUAAAGCAAUAAGAUAUUGAUCAAAUAAUACCUUGGCUGAGGGACUUCCAUUUAACCUCCUAGUCUAAGGAGCCAAGUCUAGCAACUUAUUCAAGAGCCAAAGCAAAGAAAGAAAACUUGGAAAUGAACAAAAUCAGCAGGAUUAAAUCUCUGAUUUGAAGCAUGAACGCAACAGUAUGUUGUGUUGAGUUACCCACCAAGCUUUCUUGUGAAUACACUCAGUUACAAGUGAGGUUCCUAAUGAAGAUAAACAAUUGCAAUCAAAUGGAACAAGCUAGAGAGGACAUCAAGGCCAGGGGCCACAUUUGCCAAAGAGGCUUCU